AGAAGCUUAGGUUAAUUAAAAACUCGGGACCUUCAAAGUCCCACACCAGGGGAUGAUCCCCUAACUUCUG
rnacentral:tRNA from 1 species